rnacentral:rRNA from 1 species
AGAGUUUGAUCAUGGCUCAGAUUGAGCGCUGGCGGCAUGCUUUACACAUGCAAGUCGAACGGCAGCACAGGGAGCUUGCUCCCGGGUGGCGAGUGGCGCACGGGUGAGUAAUACAUCGGAACGUGUCCUAUUGUGGGGGAUAACUGCUCGAAAGGGUGGCUAAUACCGCAUGAGACCUGAGGGUGAAAGCGGGGGAUCGCAAGACCUCGCGCAAUUGGAGCGGCCGAUGCCCGAUUAGCUAGUUGGUGAGGUAAAGGCUCACCAAGGCGACGAUCGGUAGCUGGUCUGAGAGGACGACCAGCCACACUGGGACUGAGACACGGCCCAGACUCCGUACGGGUGGCA